CGUACAGCCCCCGAGCCUUGAGAACGGCCGCGGGUAACGAGGGCCCCGGUGGAACGGCGGCGGUGUUCAACCUCCCCAUUCCCCGCGUCUGCUCUGACCGCCUUCGGGAGCAGCCGGUUCCAGGAAGCGCUGCCUUUGGCUGGGUUGGUCUCGCCAAGGCAAACGUUGACGGCUGUCAUCCCUGACUACAUCGUGUGGUGGAAGGAGCUGCUGCCUGCAGGUGUAUGUGCGAGCACACAAAAUACAGCUGUUUGGUAGCUAAACGUUAUACAAAUAGCCAAAAAUCACCUGUUACCCAACCAGCGAGGCCAUGCUCCUAGGAAACACAGUGCCAGAGGAACUCUUAUUUUCUCCUCAUUUCCCAAUUUGCAGCAGACUGAGAAAGAAAAGAAAUAUCUCUGUCAAAAGGGACAAUUCAUUGCUGUUUUAUCACCCGGCAUCUUGGAGUUCUUCAAGGCCCCUAGCUGGCUGGUUUUAAAACCAGGAUUCCUGCAUGUGGCUAUAAAACCAGAGGUACUGACAGUGGCCAGCACCCACCACAACCUGCUCCAGCAAGGAGAGGUCUGAGCUCACCAAAUGGAGUGCCAGAACCUUCAAGCUGUUGGAUGUCCAAGCCGCAAACUUAGAAAUCUUGAGUCUCUACAACCUGAAGGAACCCAACAAGAAGUUGCACUGUGUGAGCAUCACUGCAUCACCUUUAUUUAUCCUGCAAUCUUUUAAUUAAAAAGACAACAUAUUUAAAAUAUAUGUGAAAGUGCAUUCAAUCAUCUAGCAUAGGCUUCUUUUCACAGCUGUCACUGUAUAUAGGCAGACCUUUGAAUCAUUACACAAAACUGAUGUUAAUGUUUCCAAAGGCUGAAGAUAACGGUUGGUUUCUUAACAACAGGUUUUCCCCACAGGAACAGGGACUGUGGCUGAAACUGUGGCUGACGGUUUGGUUUUAGCUGUGUUAAACCAUAAACAAUUCACUAGAAUUUCUGAAGCUCUUCCUGCCCUGCAUUUGCACCUGACUUGGGCAACAUGUGGCCUUAAAGGCUUGACCUCAAGAGGAGUAUUUUUGCACCUAAAUGUAGGUGUUCAGCAGAGGCUUCUUCCAUAGAGGGGUAUGUGCUGAGCAGGGGCUGGAGCCAGCCACUGGGAAAAACUGGGCACAAGCUGUGACUGACCAGGUUACCUGCCUCUGAGCUUUGUGGCACAUAUGGGAAUCCUCUUCUAAAGGCAUGUCCCAGUCAGAUGGAAGAGGGAAAAAGGAAGAAUCUCUGCAUUUUUGAAUCAUUCAGUGCUGUAUGAGUAAAUCGUUUGUUGGCUAAUUUAUCUUCCACCCAUCCUACAAAAAGAGAAUAAAGUAAUGCAUAUUUAUUUUUAACAUUUCAGGAUCCGACGUAUAAAUAUGCAGUCAUUCUGAGGAACAACAGGCCUGCAGGUUCUAGAAAUAGGUAUCUGUAGUCAGGAGCUGCUUUUGAAAAAAAUUACUUUAAUCACUUGGAAUAUGUGAGGCAGACAUUUAAAUGCCUUUUAAAAGCACGCUGUAAAAUAAAAAGAAAUAUUUCUCUCCCA